AGAGUUUGAUCCUGGCUCAGGAUGAACGCUAGCUACAGGCUUAACACAUGCAAGUCGAGGGGAAACGACAUCGAAAGCUUGCUUUUGAUGGGCGUCGACCGGCGCACGGGUGAGUAACGCGUAUCCAACCUGCCCACCACUUGGGGAUAACCUUGCGAAAGUAAGACUAAUACCCAAUGAUAUCUCUAGAAGACAUCUGAAAGAGAUUAAAGAUUUAUCGGUGAUGGAUGGGGAUGCGUCUGAUUAGCUUGUUUGGCGGGGGUAACGGCCACCAAGGCGGACGAUCAUAGGGGUUCUGAGAGGAAGGUCCCCCACAUUGGAACUGAGACACGGUCCAAACUCCUACGGGAGGCA
rnacentral:rRNA from 1 species